UGAGAGGGAAAGAGAGAGAGAGCGAGAGGGAGGGAGGAGGAAGAUAAGAGCCAUUACAACAGAAGAGUUGGGGAAACAGUAUGCGUUUCAAUUGAUUAAGAACUGCGCAAUUUCUUAGUAUCCAUCGCCGCUUUGGUCCUGGUGUCCUAAAAUAUAUUGAUAUCUAAAGGCUUGUUUGGAUUGAACAUGCGUGUGGCAAACCCGCCCGCGGUGCACGCAUAGCCUAUACCGGCGGUUGUAGCAGCUACGUACUUGGCUUGGCGAUUUUGAAACGGAAUGUUCAAUUCUUCUGCGAGAGGGCUGUACAUUCGUUUUGGAAGACGAUAUGCAAGAUUAGAGAUUACCGUACAGCUUUGAAAUUGUGCAACAACACGAGACUAAUCGUGCCAUGUCCAUGGCUGAUUCUCUAAAUGCUCUCAUCUCUCCCAAGCAACGAUUUCAUAAUGUGUCUGCGUGUACAGUUUCUGCAAGACGACAUUUUCUAAAUGGAGUAAGGAUUUUUGACACAUUAUUCAGCUAUUACUUAAUCUGGGGAACGGUUUUGGGAGGCUACGUGGCUGAAAGAACGUCAUUCGUGUGGAAAGAAGAUGUGUUACGACGGUUUUUUUUCUGUUACAGUGUGCAGCAACGGCACCUCCCAUGAGAAAGCAGCAUGCACAAACAGUGGAACAAGGCCUAACAUGAUGCCAAGGCCUCGGUGUGCUGUUGGCAUGGGCCAGCCUGGCAUCACCUGAACAAACAUUAAAGAUGUUAACAUCACGGUCAGGGGCUUUGCAGCCACAGCAAAGAGCCAAUCAUAAUGAAGUGUGGGAAUGCGGGGCCGUCUGGUUGGAGCACGCAGUUGGCCGGGUAAGGAAGUGUGUCUGUACGUUUCUGUGCAUUUAUACAAAUGCUGAUGUUGUGCAUCUGUGCUUGUGUUUGUCUGUGUAUGUUUGCGUCUGUCACUGUUUGUAUACAGUGACUAUAGAAAGUCUCCAGCCCCCCUUUGGAUUUCUUCACAUUUUAUUGUGUUACAUACAAUGUGGGAUUAAAAUUGAUUUAAUUGCCAUUUUUUGGUCAGUGAUCUACACAAAUACUCUCAUGUUAAGUGGACAAUUACAUUUUUUAAGACUAAUAAAAAUGAAACACAUUAUAUGUUAGAAACACCUCUGGCAGCGAUUACACCUGUGAGUUUUCUUGGGUAAGUCUCAUAAGAGCUUUGCACACCUGUGUUGUGCAAUCUUUGCCCAUUAUUUUCAAAAUUCUUCUAGCUCUGACAAGGUGUUGGGGAUCAUGGCUAGACAGCAAGUAUUGCCAUAGCUUUUAAAGCAGAUUUAAGUCAAAAGCAAACUUGGCCACUCAAGAUCAUUCACUGGAUUCUUGGUAAGCAACUGCAGUGUCGAUUUGGCUUUGUGUUGUAGGUUGUUGUCCUGCUGAGAGGUGAAUUCCUCUUUCGGUGUCUGGUGUAAAGCAGACUGCAGCAGGUUUUCCUCUAGGUUUUGUCUGUGCUUAGCUCCAUCCCGUUUCUUUUCAUCCUAUAAAAUCUCCCCUGUCUUUCCCGAUGUCAAGCAUACCCAUAACAUGAUGCAGCCACCACUUUGCUUGAAAAUAAGGAGUCAGUUACUCUGAUAUUGUGUUGGAUUUGCCCAAAACAUAAGACUUUGCAUUUAGGCAAAAAAAAGUGUAUUCCUUUGCCGUGUUUCUACUUUAGUGCCUUGUUGCAAACAUAUUCAUGUUUUGUUGAACAAUUUUAUGAUGUAUAUUUGUAUUCUGUUAUUUAGGUCAUUAAUUGUGCAGAGUCACUACAAUGUUGAUCCAUCGGUUUUCUCCCGUCACAACCAUUGAAAGGUUUUUAAAUCACAAAUGGCCUCUUGUUGACAUCCCUGAUCCGUUUCCUUCCUUUCCUGCAGCUCAGUUCAGAAGGACGACUGCAUCUUUUAUGUGUCUGGGUGGUUUAAUACAUCAUCCACAGCAUUACUAUUAACUUGACCGUGCUUAAAUAUGUAUUAGGUAUUUGAUUUGUUAUUGUUACCCAUCUACCAAUCACUGCCCUUCUUUAUGAGGGAUUCGAAAAGCUCCAUGGUCUUUGUAGUUGAAGAUGUAUGUAUGUCGGACAGAGGAAGGGGUAGUCAUUAAAAAAUCAUGUCAACCCCUAUUAAUUCACAGAGUGGUUCCAUAUAACAUAUUAUGUGAUUUGUUAAGACAAAUUUUACUUCUGAACUAUACUGAACAAAAAAGUGUUGGUCCCAUGUUUCAUGAACUGAAAUAAAAGAUUUGCCAUAUGCACAAAAAGCUUA